UCUGGUUAUAAUAGCAGAGAGGAUACACCUGUUCCCAUUCCGAACACAGAAGUUAAGCUCUCUAGCGCUGAUGGUACUGGUGGGAAACUGCCUGGGAGAGUAGGACAUAGCCAGGU
rnacentral:rRNA from 1 species